rnacentral:rRNA from 1 species
CGUUAUCCGGAUUUAUUGGGCGUAAAGCGCGUCUAGGUGGUUAUGUAAGUCUGAUGUGAAAAUGCAGGGCUCAACUCUGUAUUGCGUUGGAAACUGUGUAACUAGAGUACUGGAGAGGUAAGCGGAACUMCAAGUGUAGAGGUGAAAUUCGUAGAUAUUUGUAGGAAUGCCGAUGGGGAAGCCAGCUUACUGGACAGAUACUGACGCUGAAGCGCGAAAGCGUGGGUAGCAAGCAGGAUUAGAUACCCUGGUAGUCCGCACAGUAAACGAUGGAUGCCCGCUGUUGGUACCUGGUAUCAGCGGCUAAGCGAAAGCAUUAAGCAUCCCACCUGGGGAGUACGCCGGCAACGGUGAAACUCAAAGGAAUUGACGGGGGCCCGCACAAGCGGAGGAACAUGUGGUUUAAUUCGAUGAUACGCGAGGAACCUUACCCGGGCUUGAAUUGCAGAGGAAGGAUUUAGAGAUAAUGACG